rnacentral:rRNA from 1 species
UGGUUGAUCCCGCCGGAGGCUACCGCUAUUGGAGUUCGAUUAAGCCAUGCGAGUCGCGAGAAAUUAGAUUCUCGGCGUACCGCUCAGUAACACGUGGGUAACCUGCCCUAUGCUGGAUAAUAACCUCGGGAAACUGAGAAUAAUGAUCCAUAGUUCACUACGCCUGGAACGGUGAGUGGAUGAAAGCUCCGGCGGCAUAGGAUGGGCCUGCGGCGUAUCAGGUUGUAGGGGGUGUAACGUACCCUCUAGCCCUCUACGCGUACGGGUGUUGGGAGACAUAGCCCGGAGAUGGAUUCUGAGACACGAAUCCAGACCCUACGGGGUGCAGCAGGCGCGAAAACUUGGCAAUGCGAGAAAUCGUGACCAGGGAACUCCAAGUGCAUCGGGUAAGACCGGUGCUUUUCUUGACUCUAAAUAGGUCUUGGAAUAAGGGGUGGGUAAGGACGGUGCCAGCCGCCGCGGUAAUACCGGCGCCUCAAGUGGUAGUCGCUUUUAUUGGGCCUAAAACGUCCGUAGCCGGUCUGAUACAUUCGUGGGUAAAUCAACCAGCUUAACUGGUUGAAUUCUGCGAGGACGGUCAGACUUGGGACCGGGAGAGGUGUGGGGUACGCUCAGGGUAGGGGUAAAAUCCUGUCAUCCUGAGCGGACCACCUGUUGCGAAGGCGCCACACUAGAACGGAUCCGACGGUCAGGGACGAAGCCUAGGGGCACGAACCGGAUUAGAUACCCGGGUAGUCCUAGGUGUAAACGCUGUGGACUUGAUGUUGGAGGAGCUCCGAGCUCUUUCAGUGUCGAAGCGAAGGUGAUAAGUCCACUGCCUGGGAAGUACGGUCGCAAGGCUGAAACUUAAAGGAAUUGGCGGGGGAGCACCGCAACCUGAGGAUUGUGCGGUUUAAUUGGAGUCA